rnacentral:rRNA from 1 species
GUCCUUAGUUACCAGCACGUUAUGGUGGCACUCUAAGGAGGACUGCCGGUGGACAACCGGAGGAAGGUGGGGAUGACGUCAAGUCAUCAUGGCCCUUACGGCCUGGGCUACACACGUGCUACAAUGGUCGGUACAAAGGGUUGCCAAGCCGUGAGGUGGAGCUAAUCCCAUAAAACCGAUCGUAGUCCGGAUCGCAGUCUGCAACUCGACUGCGUGAAGUCGGAAUCGCUAGUAAUCGUGAAUCAGAAUGUCACGGUGAAUACGUUCCCGGGCCUU